ensembl:lncRNA
UGGUUUGAUUCUUUCUUUUUAACUCCUUUCCCCCCCCAUCACCAAAUAGAAGCAUUGCCAUAGGACGGAGGUGGUGCUGUGUCCCAUCCCACUGCAGCUGAACUACCUGGCUCUUAUUUGACCCAAGCAGCCUUUAUGAUACAGAGAUCACCCAAGACAGAGCAGUGUGUGCAUCUUAGAUGAGAGAGCCUUGUAAAUAAGCAGCCCUGCUAUCCGUCCCAUUACUGCACUAAUUGGAAGGCCUGGGUUUCUGAUGGAGUAAGCAUUUUUUUUAAUAAUAAAAAGGUCGUAAUAUGGUAUCCGGUCUGCUUUAGGCACUGCUGUCUGCUCCGUUUUGUUUAUACUUAAAUAAUGGUGUAGAAAGCAAAUCCCAAAGUUCACAGAAGUAUUAUAUAUGGAAUCGUGUAUUGGCACUUGGAGAUAAUUAGUCGCAGAAAACAACAUCAGCCAGUUCGUGUGUUAAUUGAGCCUGAAAACUUAAACCUGUAAUUGGCAAGCCUAAUGGAGAGCCAUAAAAUCCACUGUAGUUACCCGAGUGCAGAAAUAAUUGUGCUGGGAAGUGUAACAUGAACUGCAUGUCGCAUUUCUGCCCUAAGAAACUGCAGUGGGGAGGGCUCUGCUCCCCGAGGCCCUGCGAGGGGCACUGCUUCCCAUCCACGCAGUCUUUUUAAGUGUAGCAGCUUGCAAUAUUUCCACUCCAGAGAGUGGAAUUCAGCAGGAUGAGCAGCCUGAUGUUUUGUUUGUCAUCGGAGUCUGUUGCAGCUUUUGGAAGCGCUCAGAUCCUCGAGGCCAGCAGGAAGGACCACGAUCCCCGGGGAGCAGCUGGCUCGUGCUUCUGGAGCAUCUCCUGGCCCUGCACUUGUCCUGCUGCCCGUGUCUGCCAGGCAGCCCUCACUGCGCAGUCACUAACAGAGGGAAAAGUCUUCGUGCCGAACAGUGCUGCUGCUUUGUUGUUUGGGAUACGGAUGUUACAGAGCUGCAUUUUGUAACACAGAGGUACCUGAAUCACACCCGGUGCUGCAGGAGGAGGCCUGGCCUCGCCAUGUUGGCACAGCAUCGCUCCGCGGUCACUGUGCUCUCCCAUCACACCCCCGACGGGCAGAAAUCCCUUUUUAUUUUCCCAUAUGCAAACCCCUCCUACUGUUCUCGUGGAGCUCGCAAGUGCUAAAGGUUACAAAAUCCAUCUUUUCUCUAAGAAAGCAACUUAAUUAAUGUGAAAGUUUCUCCCAGGAAGGGAACCCUCAGCAGAUAUGCGGUCUCCCUUGUCCCCUCAUGCAUUUUUCAUCACAGCUCGUGGCUCCCUCCCUGCCUGCCCUAUGAACAAUAUUGAUCGACUGAUUAAGCCAUCAAGCCGUGGCAAACAACUUUAAUUUUCAAACCAAAGCCUUUUAGUUCUCUUCCCUCUCUUGUAUAUUUGUUACCUCCUUAUGAAGUUUGUAAUGUCUCCUUAGAAACAAGCACGUUGGUUGUUUCUUUUUAAAUUAGUGCCCAGGUUAAUUGGGAGCUGCACACCACCGAUAGCCAUCCAUGUGAAGGUGUAAGAAGGGAAAACAGGGAGUGCCGAGCACAGGUUUAGGAGAAAAGAAGGCAGAUGUGGCUCUGAG